CCUACGGGUGGCAGCAGUGAGGAAUAUUGGUCAAUGGUCGGGAGACUGAACCAGCCAAGCCGCGUGAGGGAGGAAGGUACAGAGUAUCGUAAACCUCUUUUGUCAGGGAACAAAGGCGGGGACGUGUCUCCGGAUGAGUGUACCUGAAGAAAAAGCAUCGGCUAACUCCGUGCCAGCAGCCGCGGUAAUACGGAGGAUGCGAGCGUUAUCCGGAUUUAUUGGGUUUAAAGGGUGCGCAGGCGGGCUGUUAAGGUAGGGGUGAAAGGCCGGGGGUCAACCCCGGACGCGCGGUUGAGACUGGCAGUCUCGAGUUGGAGAGAAGUAUGCGGAAUGCGCGGUGUAGCGGUGAAAUGCAUAGAGAUCGCGCAGAACUCCGAUUGCGAAGGCAGCAUGCCGGCUCCACACUGACGCUGAGGCACGAAAGCGUGGGUAUCGAACAGGAUUAGAUACCCCUGUAGUC
rnacentral:rRNA from 1 species